rnacentral:rRNA from 1 species
UGAGGAAUAUUGGUCAAUGGGCGAGAGCCCGAACCAGCCAAGUAGCGUGCAGGAUGACGGCCCUAUGGGUUGUAAACUGCUUUUAUGUGGGGAUAAAGUGCGUGACGUGUCAUGCAUUGCAGGUACCACAUGAAUAAGGACCGGCUAAUUCCGUGCCAGCAGCCGCGGUAAUACGGAAGGUCCGGGCGUUAUCCGGAUUUAUUGGGUUUAAAGGGAGCGUAGGCUGUCUAUUAAGCGUGUUGUGAAAUUUACCGGCUCAACCGGUGGCUUGCAGCGCGAACUGGUCGACUUGAGUAUGCAGGAAGUAGGCGGAAUUCAUGGUGUAGCGGUGAAAUGCUUAGAUAUCAUGACGAACUCCGAUUGCGCAGGCAGCUUACUGUAGCAUAACUGACGCUGAUGCUCGAAAGUGCGGGUAUCAAACAGG